AUUGCUUCUCGGCCUUUUGGCUAAGAUCAAGUGUAGUAGCUUAGUUCGCAGGUAUCAGCAUAUAUAGUUAGUCAUGAAAAGAAUCCUACCGAUUAAGUGCUAGUUUCAAAAAUGUGCAGAAGAUUCUCAGGAUCAUUGCCUUAACCAUCUUGUGCAUAUAAAUGUAUGGUUUUGCCUCUGUCAUGUUUUCUAGAUUCCUU